AAACGAAGGUUACUUCGGAAAAAAAGGUAAGGUAAGCUUGGCGGGCCUUGCCCCUUGAGGAAGCGCAAGUGGAAUUAAGGCAUAUGUCACCAGCUCCAACAGAAGAGGUCGUACUCAACUGGAAUUACGAAAAGGAGUUAGGCGGGAGUCUGAAAAAAGAAACAAAAAGAUGACCAAAUUAAAAGGAGCGGGCCGUUUUGACCUGAUCCGGAAAAUGGUAUCCUGAGAAGGGAUGCGAUGACUACCAUUAGCCAGGAGGCGUAAAGAAAUCGAGCGAAGCUCCGGCCGGAAAUAUUAUUUAAGGUCGAAAAGAUGGAAAUGCGACUAAGGGAUUGAAUGACAAGGCAAGUUGCUAAAUCCCAAACGGUAGCAGUAAGAAUGUUACCGACUGCGAAUAAAAAAGUAAUCUGAGAGAUAAAAGGCCAGACCCGUACCCUUGGGCAAACACUUCACCAAAAGUGGAGGUCGACCUGGGGGAAAAGGAAAGGAAUGAAACCGUCGCGGAUAAAUUCCUAGCCGUGUCUGAAUAAAGAAAUCGGCAGAUGACAAUAUUCAGGCUGAGAGGCCUUACUCAAUAACUUGAUUGGGAAAUCAAUUAAGCGGUCCUGCUACGAGAUCGAUAGCUUCCUUGCCAGGAAGAAUAGCGUCGGGGAACUGACAACCUGCGAAAGUGGAGUGCCAAAUGUUAGUGAAGGACGAGAGUGUGGCGAGCUCC
rnacentral:sRNA from 12 species